ACAAGAGAGUGAAUACUACAUGAUCUUGUUUAUACACAUGAAGAACGAAACUAACAGAGCAGUCUAUGGCACCAGGAGCCAGGCACUCAUCCCUAGGGAAGGGGCAGUGCCUCAGAAGGAGCAGGAGGCCUCCAGAGCCCUGGUCAGAUCCCAUUUUUCAAUGUAGGUGUGGACCACACAGGGGAUGCUGACUUUACAGAUUCAUUUAACUGUUCACUCAUACGUGCAUUUCUCUAUAUGUAUAUUAUAUUCCAGUAACAUUUAAAAAUACACUAUAAUUGGCUUAGCAAAUAUCUUUAUAUAUAGUACAAAUGUUAAUUACUCAGUUUGAAUCAUGAAAACUGAAAAAUGAAAUUCAAAACAUUUAAUUAUAAAAUGUGUCCUUAAAAUAUUAACUUUUUCCUUCAAGAGGCCCUUAGACUGAUUCAAUUUUGAUAAACUCAGCUGGGUGUGGUGGCUCACGCCUGUAAUCCCAGCACAUUGGAAGGCUGAGGCAGAAGGAUGGCUUGAGCCCUGGAGUUGGAGAUCAGCCUAGGCAA
rnacentral:lncRNA from 10 species